rnacentral:rRNA from 1 species
CAGCAGCCGCGGUAAAACGUAGGGUGCGAGCGUUAAUCGGAAUUACUGGGCGUAAAGCGUGCGCAGGCGGUUCGUUAAGACAGAUGUGAAAUCCCCGGGCUUAACCUGGGAACUGCAUUUGUGACUGGCGAGCUAGAGUAUGGCAGAGGGGGGUAGAAUUCCACGUGUAGCAGUGAAAUGCGUAGAGAUGUGGAGGAAUACCGAUGGCGAUGGCAGCCCCCUGGGCCAAUACUGACGCUCAUGCACGAAAGCGUGGGGAGCAAACAGGAUUAGAUACCCCCGUAGUCCCUGUCUCUUAUAC